AUGGCAUGGGUUCCCAAAGGAAGUGCUCAAAAUAAGAAUUAUGUGCAAGCUUCCAUUACAAGAAGUGCGACAAAGGUGAAGAAGGAAAAGAGUGAAAACUAUGAAGGACCAAGCCGAAGGUUUCAACAUCUUUGGUCUACACAUUAUCCAUAUUCUUCAACUAUGCCAUUAAUGCCUACAUCAUGGGAUUCGUCAUUAGGUAUGAUUAGUAACCCUCAAUGGGCUUAUUUUAUCCAUGGAUGCAAUAUAAUUUCUUACGUCAUGAAAGGGUAUUACCAAGUCACUAUACAUUUGAUUAGCUACAAGUUUGUUGCUGAUCCAAAGGGCCGAAAUACUUGA
rnacentral:rRNA from 1 species